rnacentral:rRNA from 1 species
GCCUGCCCAGUGACUCUUUAAACGGCCGCGGUAUCCUAACCGUGCAAAGGUAGCAUAAUCACUUGUCCCUUAAAUCGGGACUGGAAUGAACGGCUAAAUGAGGACUAAACUGUCUCUUAUCAGGCCAGCCAAUGAAAUUGAUUUUCCAGUACAAAAGCUGGGAUACACCCACAAGACGAGAAGACCCUGUGGAGCUUACAAACCAAAUUCACCAAACAUGUCUAUCGGUUUUCAGUUGGGGCGACUUCGGAGUACAAAAUAACCUCCAAACAUAAAAUUAAUUAAGAACGACAUAUCAAAAUAUAUUUAUAAUGACCCAGCAACCUUGUGGUUGUCUGACUAAUGAACCAAGUUACCCCAGGGAUAACAGCGCCAUCCCCUUCUAGAGUCCCUAUCGACAAGGGGGUUUACGACCUCGAUGUUGGAUCAGGACACCCCAAUGGUGCAGCCGCCAUUAACGGUUCGUUUGUUCAACGAUUAAAGUCCAACGUGAU